UUCAUGGAGAGUUUGAUCUUGGCUCAGGACGAACGCUGGCGGCGUGCCUAAUACAUGCAAGUCGAGCGCAGGAAACCAGAUGACCCCUUCGGGGUGAUUCUGGUGGAAUGAGCGGCGGACGGGUGAGUAACACGUGGGCAACCUGCCUGUAAGACUGGGAUAACUUCGGGAAACCGGAGCUAAUACCGGAUAGUAUUUCCUUUCUCCUGAUUGGAAAUGGAAAGACGGUUUCGGCUGUCACUUACAGAUGGGCCCGCGGUGCAUUAGCUAGUUGGUGGGGUAAUGGCCCACCAAGGCGACGAUGCAUAGCCGACCUGAGAGGGUGAUCGGCCACACUGGGACUGAGACACGGCCCAGACUCCUACGGGAGGCAGCAGUAGGGAAUCUUCCGCAAUGGACGAAAGUCUGACGGAGCAACGCCGCGUGAGCGAUGAAGGCCUUCGGGUCGUAAAGCUCUGUUGUUAGGGAAGAACAAGUACGAGAGUAACUGCUCGUACCU
rnacentral:rRNA from 1 species